AUGAUAAACAAGAAAGUCAAGCUCGUCAAUGUGAUCCAGGUUAUGCUCGUUUGCCGGAUUCUUCUGUGCCAACGCCGGACUUGCUAUCUGUGGGAGUUUGAUCCGGCCAAGCACCAGACCCUUCUAGAGCUCUUCGGCAUGACGCACGAAGAUAUCUGGAAGGUGCUCUUCAAGGCCAACAAGACGCCGCCGGCAACGGACGAGGAUCGUGGGCACGACCUAACUCACCCUGCUAAUCCGGCAAGUUCUUUCAUGUUUUCAAGGUGUACCCUUUACUUGCCUAUUCGAGGAAGGCAUCUAAGCCUCCUUAUCAAAAAAAUUCAGGACUGGGCAGAGAUAGCAGAGUGGAUUAACUAUCCGUCUCCGCUGCCCGAAGGCCCAGAAACCCCGCUCUUGACGAAGAUGUUGUUUCUGGCGCCUUAUGAGGUGCCGGAGAAGAAGGCCAAGGGGACCAGAGGUGGCCUCUGCCGCAAGGGCACUUUGGAUGCGAUGUCCGAAGACGCCGAGGCUCACUCCUCCGCCCAAGAUGACGAGGAAGAGGAGGAAGAAUAA
rnacentral:rRNA from 1 species